rnacentral:misc_RNA from 1 species
GAUGAAGAACGUAGCGAAAUGCGAUAAGUAAUGUGAAUUGCAGAAUUCAGUGAAUCAUCGAAUCUUUGAACGCACAUUGCACCCCUUGGUAUUCCGAGGGGCAUGCCUGUUCGAGCGUCAUUAUAACCCCUCAAGCUCAGCUUGGUGUUGGGGCCUGCUGCACUGGCAGCCCUUAAAAUCAGUGGCGGCGCCAUCUGGCUCUAAGCGUAGUAAUUCUUCUCGCUAUGGAGUCCUGGUGGAUGCUUGCCAUCAACCCCCAAUUUUUCUAUGGUUGACCUCGGAUCAGGUAGGGAUACCCGCUGAACUUAAGCAUAUCAAUAAGCGGAGGA